AAAGAACUCAAUUUGAGGACAGAUAUUUAUGAAAUACUACUGCAAGAUGAUGUUGAAUCUUAAGUUAUGAAAUCAAGAUUUCUUGAGUUGUGGAUGGGUAACAUGCCCGUCAUAUGACACACUCAUGUUCUGCCACAUGCCUUUUUUCAGUGCGAAACUUUGAAGCACCUCGUCUUGGUUCAUUUUGGAUAAUGCUGUAAGUGUGCCUUUGCUCGUAGUAUACGCUGAUUACUGUUGAGUUGUGAG
rnacentral:misc_RNA from 1 species